AUGCAGGGCUUCCCCGGCGGCGUCCCCGAUCCGCAGCAGCUCCAGGCCACCAUGCUCGCCAUCGAGCAGGCCUGCUCCCUCAUCCAGGUGCACAUGAAUCCGGCUGAAGCGGAAAAAGUUCUAAGUUCACUCCAUUCAUCGCUGAUGCCUUAUCAAGCAUGCAGAUUUAUUCUUGAGACAUCCCUAAUGCCAAAUGCGAGAUUCCAAGCUGCUGGAGCAAUUGGUGAUGCUGCAAUAAGGGAGUGGGGAAUUUUAACAGAUGACAACAAAAGAAGCCUAAUACUAUAUUGUUUGAACUACGUUAUGGAGCAUGCAGGUUCCCCUGAUGGCUACGUGCAAUCAAAAGUUUCUGCUGUGGCAGCUAGGUUACUAAAAAGAGGCUGGCUUGAGUUUCCGGACCAAGAAAAAGGCGCUAUCUUCUUUGAGGUUGAACAGUCCAUCCGGGGCAUGCAUGGGCCUAAUCGACAGUUUGCUGGGAUCAACUUCUUAGAAACCUUGGUUUCAGAGUUUUCCCCUUCCACUGCUUCUUCUAUGGGCCUGCCUAAGGAGUUCCAUGACCAAUGCCAAUUGUCACUUGAAGUGAAGUUUCUGAAGGACUUCUAUUGCUGGGCACAAGCUGCUGUAUUCAAUACCGCAGACGAAAUCUUGAAUUCAAAUGUAACUAUACCCGAGGAGAAAGCAUGUUCGGCGGCAUUGCGCCUCAUGCUUCAAAUUUUAAGCUGGAGCUUCAAGCCAACUUUGGAACAUGAGAAUUUAGAUGCCAGAAUAAAAUCUGGUUUGAGGAGCGAUGCCAUAAAUCUGAGGAAAUUCGAACGUUCAUUGGUGAAGCCAGGGUCUUUGUGGACUGAUAUUCUUAUAUCAAGUGCGCAUACUACCUGGGUUUUGAACUUCUAUACUACCCUGCGUCAGAAGUACUCGUAUGAUACACUAUGGGGUGAUUCUCCUAUUGCUGUCUCUUGCAGACAGCUCAUAGUGCAAUUAUGCUCCUUGGCAGGCGCUGUUUUUCCUAAUGAUAAUGGAGAUGCACAAAUUGAACACUUUAUGCACAUACUAUCCGCUGUUAUCUUGUGGAUUGAACCUCCGAAUGUCAUUGCGGAAUCAAUUCGAAAUGGAGGAAGUGAAAGUGAGUUCAUAGAUGGUUGCCAUGUCCUGCUUUCAGUGGCAUCUUUGACUAGUAGCUCACUUUUUGACAACCUCCUGAAAUCGAUAAGACAAUAUGGCACAAUUAACCUGCUUUCCGCUUUGACAUCCGAAGCUGUCAAGUCUGUUCUGGAUAACCAGAAUGAAGAAGAAACAUGGGGUUCAGAUGCUCUAGAUAUAUUGUUAGAAACAUGGAAUGUUAUUCUGGGGGAAGCUUGUGCUGAUAAAAGUCCUAUGUCAGCUGAUGGAGCACUUGCAGCUUCAAAUUUGUUUAAGAUAAUUGUGGAGUCACAUUUGAAGGCUGCUGCUGAUUCUGCAUUUGAGGAUAGUGACGAUGCUGAAUACUUUCAUGUUUCUGUUUCAAAGCGUGAUGAGCAGUUGGCCUUGUAUGCUCUGAUUGCACGAGCAGCUGCUGACACCACCAUACCCUUUCUUGAGCAACUAUUUUCUGAGCGAUUUGCACGGCUAAGUCAGAGAGAUGUCGAAAAUGAUCCCACUCGAACAUUGGAGGAGCUGUAUUGGCUGUUGCUGAUUACCAGUCAUGUCCUAACUGACUCAGGCGAAGGAGAAACACUGCUUAUUCCUGAAGCUUUGCAGGCGGGAUUCACCAAUGUAGUUGAAGUAGCUCAACAUCCUGUAGUUACGUUGUCAUGGUCUAUAAUAAAUUUUUCAAGGCAAUGUCUAGACCCAGGAAUUAGAGGGAGGUACUUCAGUCCCCGGCUCAUGGAGGCGGUGAUUUGGUUCCUGGCCAGAUGGGUUGCAACCUAUUUAGUACCACUUGAUGUGAGUAGAGAAAUUGACAGUGUGGGUAGACAUGGAUCCCAGCAUUCUAGAAAAUUGCUAAACAGUUUUGCGUGGGACAAUAACCAAGGGGAACUUGUUCUUGAUUUUGUUGUUCUCAUGUCAAUGGUGGCACUUACUACAUAUCAGGGCGAAAUUGAGCUGCAGACACUUACAUGCCAAAAACUACUUGCUUCAGUUGUUCGACGGAAACACACAUGUGCUUAUGUUGUUCAGUUGCUUUUGUUACUACUUACCACACCUUCACAGAGAUCUCUAGCAGAAACACUUGCAUGUGCAGCUUCCUGCAUCAAAGAUCCCGAAGCAUCUGUGCAGUAUUUGAGAGACCUCAUGGGACCAGUCACAGGAUGCCUAGUAGAAAAUGCUAGUAGGAGUGAUCUUAAAUCUGUUGCACAUCAACCAGAUGUUAUCUACAUGGUCUGUUGCCUAUUGGAACGGCUAAGAGGAGCUGCUAGAGCUACUCAGCCUCGCACUCAAAAGGUUCUGUUUGAGAUGGGUCAUACUGUGAUGAACUCACUCUUGACUCUUCUGGAGGUGUACAAAAAUCAGUCUGAAGUCAUAUACAUGAUACUCAAGUUUGUGGUUGACUUCAUUGAUGGUCAAGCUGUAUUCCUGGAUGGUAAGGAGACAUCAGUUUUGAUGAGCUUUUGCUUACGUCUGCUCCAGAUAUACUCCUCUCAUAAUAUUGGAAAGGUAAUGCUCUCGCUUUCUUCAACUCUGCGAAGUGAAUCACAAUCCGAAAAGUACAAGGAUCUGCGUGCUUUGCUUCGGCUUUUAACAAAUAUCUGCUCAAAGGAUUUGGUGGGUUUCUUAUCCGAUAGCAACAUUGAAGGCUCCCCAGAUAUUGCAGAGGUCAUCUAUGUUGGUCUUGAUAUUGUGACUCCCUUGAUAUCUUUGGAUCUUCUCAAGUACCCUAAACUAAGUCGUGAUUAUUUUGUACUUAUGUCGCACUUGUUGGAAGUGUACCCUGAGAAGGUUGCUCACUUAAACAGGGAUGCUUUUGGAAGAAUUACUGGUAGUCUUGAAUUUGGCCUGCGUAGUCAGGAUGGCGAUGUUGUUGAGAGGUGCCUCACAGCAGUAAAUGCCCUUGCCUCGUACCAUUUCAAAGAAAGACUUGGAGGCAGAGGAGGGCUUGGCUCGCAGGUUAUGGAAUCUGACGGAUCGAAUGGCAAACUUCAGGAAAGCAUAUCAAGUCACUUCUUGAGGCUUCUCCUGCAACUACUUCUGUUUGAAGAUUUUAGAAUGGAACUAGCAGGUUCUGCUGCAGAUGCUUUGCUUCCUUUACUUUUUUGUGAACAGGAGUUAUAUCAGAGGCUGGUCCAUGAGUUGCUUGAGAAAGAGCAGAAUCCGACUGUAAAAUCAAGGCUGGCACUUGCUUUCCAUAACCUGACAAGUUCAAACAAUCUCUCAAGCACCCUUGACCGGCCAAACAGGCAGAAAUUCCGGAAAAAUCUCCGUGUUUUCUUAGGCGAGGUCUCGGGCUUCAUGCAGAUAAAGUAG
rnacentral:rRNA from 1 species